AAGUUCGAAGCGCGGGAAGCGAAGUGGAUCCCUUCGGGGUGAAGCUCGUGGAACGAGCGGCGGACGGGUGAGUAACACGUGGGCAACCUACCUGUAAGAUCGGAAUAACCCCGGGAAACCGGGGCUAAUGCCGGGUAAUACUUUUCUUCGCAUGAAGGAAAGUUGAAAGAUGGCUUCUUGCUAUCACUUACAGAUGGGCCCGCGGCGCAUUAGCUAGUUGGUGAGGUAACGGCUCACCAAGGCGACGAUGCGUAGCCGACCUGAGAGGGUGAUCGGCCACACUGGGACUGAGACACGGCCCAGACUCCUACGGGAGGCAGCAGUAGGGAAUCUUCCGCAAUGGACGAAAGUCUGACGGAGCAACGCCGCGUGAACGAUGAAGGUCUUCGGAUCGUAAAGUUCUGUUGUUAGGGAAGAACAAGUACCGUGCGAAUAGAGCGGUACCUUGACGGUACCUAACGAGGAAGCCCCGGCUAACUACGUGCCAGCAGCCGCGGUAAUACGUAGGGGGCAAGCGUUGUCCGGAAUUAUUGGGCGUAAAGCGCGCGCAGGCGGUUCCUUAAGUCUGAUGUGAAAGCCCACGGCUCAACCGUGGAGGGUCAUUGGAAACUGGGGAACUUGAGGACAGAAGAGGAGAGUGGAAUUCCACGUGUAGCGGUGAAAUGCGCAGAUA
rnacentral:rRNA from 1 species